AAAAAUACACUUUCAUCUUGCCUCGCUUUUCUGAGACAAUCAGUAUCAUAUAAAAUAUUUUUAAAAUGUGCGAACUUUGUGCGUCGACAACUUUCAUAUGAAACUUUUUCUCGAAAGUUCUAUUGAGAGACUAAAACGCGCGAAAAGAAAACUUUGCGCUACUGUUGGCCACUCUAGCCCCACCAUCGUUCCACACACAAGAUAGUACAAAUACAGCAGUAGCAGCAGUUAAAGGACCAGAAAUCGGAGAAGUGUAGGAAGGUAAACUUCGACCGUUACAUUAAUUCCAAUUUAACAUGGAGUUAAUGUCUGCAAUUCGUCCUUACUCUUCAUGCUUUCAUUUCUAAUUUCCAACAUCACACACAUAAAAAAAAACAAGUGAACCGCAAUCGUUUCCGUUGCAACAAAUAACUCUUUUUAGUAAACCAAGGCAUAUCAAACAUCCAAAACCCAUGAUAAAGUUGGCCUUCUUUGGCUGUUGCGAACAUUUUCUUGCCAAGUGUGUUUUCAAAGCUGCCCUGAUAACCUUUGACAUGUUUGGGACCACUAUCCAUACCGUAAACAACUUGAAAUAUUCAUAUUUACUUCAAGUACGUUGGCAUGUGCGAGUCGAUUUCUUGAAGAAAUGUUGCACAUAUUCCUGAAGAUGGCCGUGGUUGCACUGCUAGCAACGGCAGUGUUUUCACGGACAAUUGAUGAUUUUAUUAUCAAUCCUGAAGAGUUUGAACGUCUUCAAAACACUGCCACCACCGGAAGUUACAUGAUUGUAGACCGAUUUUUGGCCGAUAUUAAAUGUAAACCGAAACACGUAAAAAUCGCAGGCAAAUGUUUCCGAAUAUACUGAAAAUCCGUUUAGUUGAAGUUCUACUUUAGCUUUAUUUCAAAAUGUUUUGAUAUGAAUGUUUGCCAAUAAAUAGUCCGAUGGUU